rnacentral:rRNA from 1 species
AUUGAACGCUAGCGGGAUGCCUUACACAUGCAAGUCGAACGGAGUGGCGCACGGGUGCGUGAUGUAUCGGAACGUGCACAGUAGCGGGGGAUAACUACGAGAAAGCGUAGCUAAUACCGCAUACUAUUGGAGCGGCCGAUAUCGGCUUAGCUAGGUGGUGGGGUAACGGCACCCCAAGGCGACGAUCCGUCGCUGGUUUGAGAGGACGACCAGCCACGGUGGGACUGAGACACGGCCCAGACUCCUACGGGAUGCAGCAGUGGGGAAUUUUGGACAAUGGGGGAAACCCUGAUCCAGCCAUCCCACGUAUGCGAUGAAGGCCUUCGGGUUGUAAAGCACUUUUGGCAGGAAAGCGGUACCUGCAGAAUAAGCACCGGCUAACUACGUGCCAGCAGCCGCGGUAAUAC